rnacentral:lncRNA from 1 species
UUUGGAGUUUUAAAAAAUGAUUUCAAUAUAGUGAGAGGCUUAAAAUACCCUCUACUGUGGCUGGGCUGCUUGUCACCUCCUUGCAUACAGUAAGUGGUCUGUUAACUGUCCCCUGUGGUGGCUUUUUGAGAAAGUGGACCCUCUUCCCAAAGAGGCGGAUUUCUACUUCGAACUGGCUAUCUGACCACUAAUAGCACUGCAAUCUGUGAAGAACCCUGCAGAAACUGCUUACUGCAGGGGUCUGGUGAUAGCAGAGCUAUAACGACUAACCCACCUGCAAGCCAAGGGGUCUCAGUCGGCAGGCACACCCUCCCAGGUGUCAACCUCACGGCCCACCCUUCCAAGGUCAGGAGAGAUGCUGGGGAGUUGUUCCUAUCCAGGCAGCAGUUGGGCAUGAAGCUGAAGAUGCUGCUUGACAUUUAGAUUUUGAAUAAAAUAAGUUCUAUGCAGAUUUUUUUCUCACGCGCCCCUGUCAUCCCUGGCAGGCUACAUUACACGGGUCAUAUGCAGCAGUGUGAUCGUAAGCACCACGCUGAGAAGUAGGUACUGGGUAAUGGAGUCAGCAGUUGGUAAGGGGAGGCUGGGAGGAGCCUGAACAUUCCUGCAGUUCCUCCCUAAGACCACCAGGCCCCAGAGAGAUCCUGAAAGGCAGGCACAAAAGUAAUGCCAAGGAAGAGCAAUCACCUCCAUUGCAACUCUUUCCUUAUCAUUUUAUUGGUCUUUCCUUUUUUAUUAUUGGAGUUAUCCCAAAGUUACAGGUCAGUAUACUAAACUAGGUUUAUAAGUAAGCUAGGCUAAAGAGAAGGUUUUGUUCUGGUGCAAUGUUCAUGUUUUG